rnacentral:lncRNA from 1 species
CAUGUCCUUUGGCUGAGCCGUCUCAAAUCUGUGAUUGAACUCGUUGCUCAUGGCAGCCAGCAUGAUGCAGUGCACCGUGGUUCGGUCACUGAGCCACUUUUAGUAAGUGUCUCUGACUGUUCUACGUGCAUUGGCAACUGGCUCCUCAAAUGAAGGAUCCGUUAUCACAUAUAGGAUUCGUUCAUGCUCCAGGACUAUCUUCAACUUUCAGUACCGGCUACCGAAGUUGGGUCCCAUCAAAUUUUCAUUGUCCAAC